GAUGAACGCUAGCGGCAGGCUUAAUACAUGCAAGUCGUGGGGCAGCACAGUGUAGCAAUACAUGGGUGGCGACCGGCAAACGGGUGCGUAACACGUACGCAACUUACCCAUUACAGGGGGCUAGCCCAGGGAAACUUGGAUUAAUACCCCAUAUUAUAUAGUGCUGGCAUCAGUUUUAUAUCAAAGCUACGGCGGUAAGGGAUGGGCGUGCGGUUGAUUAGUUAGUUGGCGGGGUAACGGCCCACCAAGUCUACGAUCAAUAGCUGAUGUGAGAGCAUGAUCAGCCACACGGGCACUGAGACACGGGCCCGACUCCUACGGGAGGCAGCAGUAAGGAAUAUUGGGCAAUGGACGCAAGUCUGACCCAGCCAUGCCGCGUGAAGGAUGAAGGUCCUCUGGAUUGUAAACUUCUUUUAUCUGGGGCGAAAACGACCUUUUCUAGGGUUCUUGACAGUACCAGAGGAAUAAGCACCGGCUAACUCCGUGCCAGCCGCCGCUGUAAAAC
rnacentral:rRNA from 1 species